GGCUGUUGUGACCUUGCAUAACCCUUGAUGUUCUUCCACUCCAUGCUCUGCACUCAUGUAGUUUCUAACAAUUCUUUCACAUAGCUCUUAACAUUCUUCUGCUCUGUGCUCCACACUUGUAUAGUCUCUAACAAUUCUUCUGUAUAGCUUCUUACAUUCUUCUGCUCUGUGUUCUGUGCUCAUGUAGUCUCUAACAAUUCUUCCGCGUAGCCCUCAAUGAUUCCCCCAUCCCACAUUCCACGCUUGUGUAGCUUCUAAUGAUUCUUACACAUAUCUCUUAAUGUUCUUCCACUCCACGCUCCACUGUGGAGCGGCUUCUGAUAUUCUUUCGCCCCGAACUUUCCUCUAUAAGAACCCCC
rnacentral:sRNA from 1 species